AUACGGAGGAUCCGAGCGUUAUCCGGAUUUAUUGGGUUUAAAGGGAGCGUAGGUGGAUUGUUAAGUCAGUUGUGAAAGUUUGCGGCUCAACCGUAAAAUUGCAGUUGAAACUGGCAGUCUUGAGUACAGUAGAGGUGGGCGGAAUUCGUGGUGUAGCGGUGAAAUGCUUAGAUAUCACGAAGAACUCCAAUUGCGAAGGCAGCUCACUAGACUGUUACUGACACUGAUGCUCGAAAGUGUGGGUAUCAAACAGGAUUAGAUACCCUGGUAGUCCACACAGUAAACGAUGAAUACUCGCUGUUUGCGAUAUACAGUAAGCGGCCAAGCGAAAGCAUUAAGUAUUCCACCUGGGGAGUACGCCGGCAACGGUGAAACUCAAAGGAAUUGACGGGG
rnacentral:rRNA from 1 species